UGCAGUCNNNNAACUCUGGUUUGAUUGGUGCUUGNUCUGAUUUACAUUUGAGUGAGUGGCGAACUGGUGAGUAACACGUGGGAAACCUGCCCAUAAGCGGGGGAUAACACCNGGAAACAGAUGCUAAUACCGCAUAACAACUUGGACCGCAUGGUCCGAGCUUGAAAGAUGGCUUCGGCUAUCACUUUUGGAUGGUCCCGCGGCGUAUUANCUAGAUGGUGGGGUAACGGCUCACCAUGGCAAUGAUACCUANCCCAACUGANAGGGUAAUCCGCCACCUUGGGACUGAAACACGGCCCAAACUCCUACCGGAGGCAGCAGUAGGGAAUCUUCCACAAUGGACGAAAGUCUGAUGGAACAACCCCCCCUGAGUGAAAAAGGGUUUCCGCUCCUAAAACUCUGUUGUUAAANAAAAACAUAUCUGAAAAUAACUGUUCANGUAUUGACGGUAUUUAACCAGAAAGCCACGGCUAACUACCUGCCAGCAGCCGCGGUAAUACNUANGUGGCAAGCGUUGUCCGGAUUUNUUGGGCGUAAAGCGAGCGCANGCGGUUUUUUAAGUCUGAUGUNAAAGCCUUCCGCUCNACCCAAGAAGUGCAUCCGAAACUGGGAAACUUGANUGCANAANAAGACAGUGGAACUCCNUGUGUAGCGGUGAAAUGCNUANAUAUAUGGAAGAANACCAGUGGCGAANGNCGCUGUCUGGUCUGUAACUGANNCUNAAGCUCNAAGUA
rnacentral:rRNA from 1 species